AGAUGAAGUAACAUGUCCAAGGGCAGGAGCCCAGGCCUCUAACCAUCAUCUCCUGUCCUGUAUACUCUAAUCAGUAUGGAACUGUACUGUAUAUCACUAUAUAAGACAAUAUAUGAAGUCCCAACUAUUCCCAAAGAAUUGUUUCCUCUGGUUCUUCCCAGGAAGCUAAGAAACAUAUAUUUUAAGAAAUUGAUGAAGAUUUCAUGGCUGACACGUGGUAGAAUUCAGAUUUGAACAUAGUUGUGUCUGCUUCCAAAGCAUGCUGUAUGCCCAAGCAAUAAUUCUUGCACCAAGUCCCCUCCAAGGAGAGACCCUGGGUAAUGACAAUCUCUGGUGUCAACUAAGAUUCUUAAGGACUGUAUCCUGAUUGUGAUUCCUAUGUGACCUGAAGGUAAGCCAGUAACUCAGUCUAUCUUCUAUUUGGUUUCUUAAACUAAUAUUUUAUGAAUACAUGCCACACACUGCAAAAUAAUUAAAACAUGUAUAUGGACAAAUAAUUUCAAUUUUGAAUUCUUUAAUAAAAAUAAUAGAAAUGACAUUAAAGUUAAGAUGGGAAAAAGUUGUUCUUUUAGUGCUGAAUUCACUUCUUCCUUCAUGGAGUUUUUCCACAUCCUUAAGGAGCUAAGAGUCACUUUUAAAAAUAAACAACUAAGUCACUGGAAAGUAGAUAUUAACCAAGAGUGAUGCAAAUUCUGUGAAUCCUAUGAGUUAAUUAAAGAGACCAUCUCAUAAAAGAGCAACACUGAAAACUUCUGCAGAGACAAUGUGGUGCAGUGGA